UUUAAUUUUUAUUGGAAUAGAAUAACAUUAUAAUUUUCAAAUAAUAAUAAUAAUAAACCGUCAUCCUGUUACUAUUUGAGUGACAGCAAUAUCUAUAAUGCCAAAUGAACAUGUGAAAAACACACAAAUUCUACAAUGAAAACUCCAAGACAAAUACACUCUCUUUAGACCAAAUAAUUAACAUUUUCGAUGACAACCUCAUAUUACACCACAUGUAAUAAGGCUAUUGGCCAGUCAAACCAUAAUCAUGCUUAGCUACUAACACCUAUGCUACCAAAAAAGUAACCUAUUUAUAAUUAUAUGAAAGCUGUAAAACGUGAUCACAAACAUUUUUUUUUCUUUUGGCUUUAA